GAGAAAGUUACAAGAACUGCUAAUUCUUGAAACCAUGCUUAAAUCCAUGGCUUUCUUA
rnacentral:tRNA from 1 species